AGAGAGACUUGUGGAAGGAACGAGGCAUACGUAUAUAAAAUACUUAGGAUGAUUUUCGUAAGGACGAUUUAAAACGAAACGAUUGCGACCAAUGAGUUUUUAGUUGCCAGAUGUUCGAAACGUCGAACGUGGAGGAUCAAAAGAAAACGCUUGGAUGAAAGAAGGAAACGUGAAAUGAACAGCGUAAUGACGAAAAAU